rnacentral:tRNA from 1 species
GGUUGGGUUCGCUCUGUGGUUAGAGCUUAGGCCUUGUGACCAAAAGGUCCCGGGUUCGAAUCUCGCCAGAGGCA